CGGCGGCGUCCUGGGGCCAGGGGGGUGCGCCUUUCUUCGCGUCGGGGCGGCCCGGCGCCCGGUGGCGCGGCGCGGGAGGGGUUUUCUGGUGCGUCCUGGUCCACCAUGGCCAAACCAACAAGCAAAGAUUCAGGCUUGAAGGAGAAGUUUAAGAUUCUGUUGGGACUGGGAACACCGAGGCCAAAUCCCAGGUCUGCAGAGGGUAAACAGACGGAGUUUAUCAUCACCGCGGAAAUACUGAGAGAACUGAGCAUGGAAUGUGGCCUCAACAAUCGCAUCCGGAUGAUAGGGCAGAUUUGUGAAGUUGCAAAAACCAAGAAAUUUGAAGAGCACGCAGUGGAAGCACUUUGGAAGGCGGUCGCGGAUCUGUUGCAGCCGGAGCGGCCACUGGAGGCCCGGCACGCGGUGCUGGCUCUGCUGAAGGCCAUCGUGCAGGGACAGGUAAGGCCCGGGGCGACGCUGGGAUGGGUGAUGUCAGGCCGCCCACUGACUGUCCUGUCCCUGCUGGGCCAUGUUUGGACUCCUGCCUCGGUGAGUUGCUGGGCACAGGGUCUAGGGGCUGAUGGGCUCUGGAGCUGGACGGCCUGUGGGGUCUCCUGGUGUCAUGAGGUCUGUGUGACCGUGGGCACUGCCUCCUCGCCUGUAAACAGAGAGUCACUGCACCUUCUUCUUAUGGAAUGUUCUGGGGAUCAUAUGAGGCAGUUCUCGCAGAGUGCUGAUACCGUACCUGGCAGCUGGUGUGGGGCUACAGUGUUGUUUUGCCCUUGCACCCUUUCGGGGCUGCUCCCCUACUCACUGCGUUCCAGCUGUGCUGGUCUUGGCUGACCCUGAACACCCAGACCUCUUGGUGUUCCUGCCUCCCCUGGUCGGCCACUUCUACUUCUUCAUGUCCCAGCUGCUCAGAAGGGCCAUCCACUCUCACAGGCUCUCCUGGGCUUCCCCCACUCAGGCUUUGUCCUCAGUUUCUGAGCACAAGGCUGUCUGCCCCGCACCGAGUGCAGGGGUCAUGCAGGAGCUGUGUCGUCCCCUGCUCUGCGCCACCCACUGUGCCAGGUCCCGACACACAGCAUU
rnacentral:sRNA from 1 species